rnacentral:rRNA from 1 species
UACGGGGGGGGGUAAGCGUUGUUCGGAAUUACUGGGCGUAAAGGGCUCGUAGGCGGCCCAACUAAGUCAGACGUGAAAUCCCUCAGCUUAACUGGGGAACUGCGUCUGAUACUGGAUGGCUUGGAUUUGGGAGAGGAAUGCGGAAUUCCAGGUGUAGCGGUGAAAUGCGUAGAUAUCUGGGAGGAACACCGGUGGCGAAGGCGGCAUUCUGGACCAAUAUUGACGCUGAGGAGCGAAAGCCAGGGGAGCAAAGCGGG